rnacentral:rRNA from 1 species
GAUGGACGCUAGCGGCAGGCCUAAUACAUGCAAGUCGAGGGGCAGCACAGGUAGCAAUACUGGGUGGCGACCGGCAAACGGGUGCGGAACACGUACACAACUUACCUUAGAGUGGGGGAUAGCCCAGGGAAACUUGGAUUAAUACCCCAUAAAACAGGGGGCCCGCAUGGGCAUAUUGUUAAAGAUUUAUCGCUUUAAGAUGGGUGUGCGUAUGAUUAGGUAGUUGGUAGGGUAAAGGCCUACCAAGCCGACGAUCAUUAACUGGUGUGAGAGCACGACCAGUCACACGGGCACUGAGACACGGGCCCGACUCCUACGGGAGGCAGCAGUAAGGAAUAUUGGUCAAUGGACGGAAGUCUGAACCAGCCAUGCCGCGUGAAGGAUGAAGGUCCUCUGGAUUGUAAACUUCUUUUAUAGGGGGCGAAAAAGGGCCAUUCUUGGUCAACUGACGGUACCCUAUGAAUAAGCACCGGCUAACUCCGUGCCAGCCGCCGCGGUAAAAC